rnacentral:tRNA from 3 species
GGAGGUGUGGCUGAGCGGUCUAUAGCGGCGGUCUUGAAAACCGUUGAGCCGAAAGGUUCCGGGGGUUCGAAUCCCUCCACCUCCG